rnacentral:rRNA from 1 species
CCUACGGGAGGCUGCAGUGGGGAAUAUUGGACAAUGGGCGAAAGCCUGAUCCAGCCAUGCCGCGUGUGUGAAGAAGGCCUUCGGGUUGUAAAGCACUUUCAGUGGGGAAGAAAGCCUUGGGGCUAAUACCCUCGAGGAAGGACAUCACCCACAGAAGAAGCACCGGCUAACUCCGUGCCAGCAGCCGCGGUAAUACGGAGGGUGCGAGCGUUAAUCGGAAUUACUGGGCGUAAAGCGCGCGUAGGCGGUCUGAUAAGCCGGUUGUGAAAGCCCCGGGCUCAACCUGGGAACGGCAUCCGGAACUGUCAGGCUGGAGUGCAGGAGAGGAAGGUAGAAUUCCCGGUGUAGCGGUGAAAUGCGUAGAGAUCGGGAGGAAUACCAGUGGCGAAGGCGGCCUUCUGGACUGACACUGACGCUGAGGUGCGAAAGCGUGGGUAGCAAACAGGAUUAGAUACCCGUGUAGUC